rnacentral:rRNA from 1 species
UACAGAGGGUGCGAGCGUUAAUCGGAAUUACUGGGCGUAAAGCGUGCGUAGACGGUUAUUUAAGUCGGAUGUGAAAGCCCCGGGCUCAACCUGGGAAUUGCAUUCGAGACUGAAUAGCUAGGGUGCGGUAGAGGGAAGCGGAAUUUCCGGUGUAGCGGUGAAAUGCGUAGAUAUCGGAAGAACACCAGUGGCGAAGGCGACUCACUGGACACGUAUUGACGCUGAGGUGCGAAAGCGUGGGGAGCAAACAGG